CCUACGUGAGGCAGCAGUGAGGAAUAUUGGUCAAUGGACGAGAGUCUGAACCAGCCAAGUAGCGUGAAGGAUGACUGCCCUAUGGGUUGUAAACUUCUUUUAUAUGGGAAUAAAAUGUUCCCCGGGUGGGAUUUUGUAUGUACCUUAUGAAUAAGGAUCGGCUAACUCCGUGCCAGCAGCCGAGGUAAUCCGGAGGAUCCGAGCGUUAUCCGGAUUGGUUGGGUUUAAAGGGAGCGUAGGUGGAUUGUUAAGUCAGUUGUGAAAGUUUGCGGCUCAACCGUAAAAUUGCAGUUGAAACUGGCAGUCUUGAGUACAGUAGAGGUGGGCGGAAUUCGUGGUGUAGCGGUGAAAUGCUUAGAUAUCACGAAGAACUCCGAUUGCGAAGGCAGCUCACUGGACUGCGACUGACACUGAGGCUCGAAAGUGUGGGUAUCAAACAGGAUUAGAUACCCGAGUAGUC
rnacentral:rRNA from 1 species